rnacentral:rRNA from 1 species
CUAGCGGCAGGCCUAACACAUGCGAGUCGAGGGGUAACAGGAAGUGCUUGCACUUCGCUGACGACCGGCGCACGGGUGGGUACCGCGUAUACAAUCUGCCUCAUACUAGGGGAUAGCCCGAAGAAUUUGGAUUAAUACCCUAUAGUAUCUUUUUAAGGCAUCUUAUUAAGAUUAAAGGUUACGGUAUGAGAUGAGUAUGCGUUCUAUUAGCUGGUAGGUGUGGUAACGGCACACCUAGGCUACGAUAGAUAGGGGCCCUGAGAGGGGGAUCCCCCACACUGGUACUGAGACACGGACCAGACUCCUACGGGAGGCAGCAGUGAGGAAUAUUGGACAAUGGGCGAAAGCCUGAUCCAGCCAUGCCGCGUGCAGGAUGACUGCCCUAUGGGUUGUAAACUGCUUUUAUAUAGGAAGAAAAACUUUCUCGUGAGAAAGNUUGACGGUACUAUAAGAAUAAGGAUCGGCUAACUCCGUGCCAGCAGCCGCGGUAAUACGGAGGAUCCAAGCGUUAUCCGGAAUCAUUGGGUUUAAAGGGUCCGUAGGUGGACAAAUAAGUCAGAGGUGAAAUCCUGCAGCUCAACUGUAGAACUGCCUUUGAUACUCGUUUGUCUUGAGUUAUUAUGAAGUGGUUAGAAUGUGUAGUGUAGCGGUGAAAUGCAUAGAUAUUACACAGAAUACCGAUUGCGAAGGCAGAUCACUAAUAAUUAACUGACACUGAGGGACGAAAGCGUGGGUAGCGAACAGGAUUAGAUACCCUGGUAGUCCACGCCGUAAACGAUGGUCACUAGCUGUUAGGACUUCGGUCUGAGUGGCUAAGCGAAAGUGAUAAGUGACCCACCUGGGGAGUACGUUCGCAAGAAUGAAACUCAAAGGAAUUGACGGGGGCCCGCACAAGCGGUGGAGCAUGUGGUUUAAUUCGAUGAUACGCGAGGAACCUUACCAGGGCUUAAAUGUUAGGUGACAGAUCUAGAAAUAGAUUUUUCUUCGGACACUUAACAAGGUGCUGCAUGGUUGUCGUCAGCUCGUGCCGUGAGGUGUCAGGUUAAGUCCUAUAACGAGCGCAACCCCUGUUGUUAGUUGCCAGCGAGUAAUGUCGGGAACUCUAGCAAGACUGCCAGUGCAAACUGUGAGGAAGGUGGGGAUGACGUCAAAUCAUCACGGCCCUUACGUCCUGGGCUACACACGUGCUACAAUGGUAGGUACAGAGAGCAGCCAAUGCGCGAGCAUGAGCAAAUCUAUAAAACCUAUCUCAGUUCGGAUCGGAGUCUGCAACUCGACUCCGUGAAGCUGGAAUCGCUAGUAAUCGGAUAUCAGCCAUGAUCCGGUGAAUACGUUCCCGGGCCUUGUACACACCGCCCGUCAAGCCAUGGAAGUUGGGAGUGCCUGAAGUCCGU